UACGAAGGGGGCUAGCGUUGUUCGGAUUUACUGGGCGUAAAGCGCACGUAGGCGGAUUGUUAAGUCAGGGGUGAAAUCCCGGAGCUCAACUCCGGAACUGCCUUUGAUACUGGCAAUCUUGAGGCUGGAAGAGGUUAGUGGAAUUCCCAGUGUAGAGGUGAAAUUCGUAGAUAUUGGGAAGAACACCAGUGGCGAAGGCGGCUAACUGGUCCACUCUUGACGCUGAGGCGCGAAAGCUAGGGGAGCAAACGGG
rnacentral:rRNA from 1 species